AACUUGCGCCUUGGAAAUACUGCCGGCUAGCGCUUCGGGAAACGCCUCCCCUUAACUCUGAAGUUCUGCGAUCUUCUCUUUGUGCGUGGGCGGAUGGAUCAACGCCGCCAAGUGGGAAAGGUCUGAGGAUUGCGUCAUUAGGCGAUUUUGUUGCCGUGCGAACACCACAGAAUGUACUUUGACGACCUAGAUGGUAGAGCCUGGACACACCUCGGCUGUGUGAUGUGGCGUGUUGCUUCCAGGCUGCAAACCUUACAGCAUGGGGCUGUACUGAAUACCGCAGACCAUUGUAAUUCAUGGGAAAAGCGUGAAUGCAGUCCCCCACUACCACAAAUUAUGCAGUGGAGUUUUCCACAUUUGGGGACAUCGCAGGGGUCAGCACAUCCGGAGUGCAAUCGGUGAGCCUCACCCUGAAAAAAACCACCUUCGUGAUCAUGGUAUCUUCCCUGCCAGGUGAGUAUUCGAAUUCCCAUUUAUUGAAGGAAUGGAUUAACAGGUAAAUAUAUGCAUGAAUACAAGCCCACAUGAGUAGGGGAACAGAUUGUUUUCUUUGCUCAGAAAAAUAAUCCUUCUUCCAAAUGUGUACCAUACUGUCUACCUGCCUCCCCUGAAAUUUAAUGGGUUUCUAAAAUAGGUCUUAUCCAACUUACCUGUGGUUAUCUUAUAUUAGGUGAUCACCGACCAGUUACUAAGAUACCCACUGUCACUUAGACUCCUAAGUUUUCUUUACUGGUAUUUCCUUGUAUUCCUCACUCUUGCUUCCUUUGUUUGCAUUAACUGGAAUUUUCUCUCUCAAGCAACCUAAUCACAGAGUUCCCAGCCCGAUGCUACAAAGAGCUGCAUGCUGCCAGUUUCCUUGUGGGCAGGGACCUAUGUAUUAUAAUGGUGAAUAGAUUUAUACUUGAAUCCACAGAGAAGACACAGACUAGUUAUACCAUUGGAAGGCCGAAGAACUCUAUUUCUGGCCAGAGCUGCUGCAGAAGGUCUCUGUUCAGCAUCAGGGUGGAUCAUGUUCUGAUGAUAUAGGACCAAGAGGAAAGAAACAGAAGCUUCAUUAUUGGGAAAAAUCUUCCCACUCAAGCCAACUCCAACCCAGCUUCUCCUGGUGGAUUUUAGAGAAACCAAUCAGCUUCAUUUUCAACUUCUUCUAUGACUCCAGAGGAUUCACUUUGCAUCUUGUGACAAAUGAAGAUAUUACCUGAAAAAAUAAAGACAGGAUAGAUGAAUCUGGCAGAAUCCAGGACCGGGAUUACCCUUAUUUAUGAAGUGACCUUAGACUAACAGUGGCUCUCUGGGCCUCCAGACAAUUGGCCAGGGACUCUAAAAACCAGAAACAAAGUUGAGAUAACUCCAGGCUGGUGGAGAAAAACAGCUGGCCUUUAUCACCAGAACGUGCCCCAUAGAAGCAACAAAGCAAGCAGCAAGUGACCUUCUUAAGGGCCUGUGGGCCUCAUCAAGAUCUGGAGGAGUCAUCUACUACUCACUGCUGAGUGAGAGGGCUAGGCAGUGUCUUUAAGGUCCUGCCAGCUUUAACAUUGUAUGCUUUUUCUUUUGUUCAAUCUCUCACCACAACUGGAAGUGUUGCCUCAACUACACAGGAGAAAGUUUGCAGUAACUUAGAGAAAACAUUAUUUUAAUCACCAGCAUAUGUUCUCCGGCUCCCUGGACAAAUCUGCUGCAGUGGAUGUGAAUCCAUUGAAACCAGGGGUCUCCAGUGCUCCUGACUCCUCACAGCUCUGUUCCUAUGACAAGGAUGGUCAGCAAAGCCAGCAACCUUGAAGGGGGACCUUCUCCUAAUCUCCUCCCUGCCUGCUGAGAGAGUGUACAGAAGCAGCCACCUGUCAGCUGCGAUGAAUCCAAUGAUAAUUACAUAAAUCAUUAACAAUACUUGAUAUGUGCCCAUCACAUUUCUCAUUUCAAAGUGCUCGUAAAAUUAUAUCUUAUGGGUGGCGCUGCCGGCACAACAGAAUUCCAAGGAAGAUUAUGGGCUAAGUAAAUAAAGCCUGGAGGCUGCUUUAAAGCUUAGGAGUCUGUUAUUAACACUUUCCUCCUUUUUGUUUAACUUUUUCUUAUGGAAAUGUUCAAACAUACCAAAAAUAGAGAAAAUAUUAUAAUGAGUCCUCAUGUAUCCAUAACCUAGCUUCAAAAAUUAUGUAUGGCUUUACAGUCUUGUUUAGUUCAUAACUGCAACUUCAUUGAGGGUGAGUGCUGGGGUAUUCUGAAGCAAAUCAGUGACAACAUAUUUUACCCAUGGAUACUUUGGUGCCAUUAAUAAAAACCCCCUAGGUUAUUCUAUUAAUUUGAAAUCUACUAUAAAUCUAUCUGAUGAAUAAAUCAAACAGAUUUUAACAAAUUGCUUCUCUUGCCAAAGUUUCCCAUUUGCUAGAACUAGAGAUUAUUCAUCAAAAUAGCUAUGACAGUAGAAACACACCACUUGUCUACUCACACAAGACAUAGCAUACUUAGAAUAGGAAUAGAUCUCUGAUUUGAUGUCCCAGUAAUUUAGAGAUUGAUGAUAUCCUACCGAUACUUUAAGGAGCAGACAUUUUAAAACGACGGUACAGACCCACUAGUCUGACCUUUUCUCUGUUAGUCACAGUUGGGCUGUAGUCAUUCCCACAUUCCCUAAGAUUAGAACAGGUAAUGGGUCACCUGUGUGACCUGCACCAAGGCCAGCCCCACCGCCCCCGGCCACAGAAAUAAGAUCUCUCUCUCUGUCUCUGUGUGUGUGUGUAUGUAUGUGUGUAUGUCUGUUUCUGCCUCUCCCACAUCACACACACACACACACACACACACACACUCACACACACAGCACCUCGCUGGGAAGAAAUGAGCAGGUAUGGAAGAGACAUUCCCAGAGAUGGAUCUGUACUGCGCUCAGUCUUGACUUAUUUGCUGUCAGUGCUCCAAGGGAUGAGCUCUGGAGGUCACCAGUAACUUGGUCAAACAUCCCCAGCUACUUCUUCAUCCUUCUGAUCCAAUCAAGAGAUUCCUACACUGAAGUUUUACCUUCAUAAAACAUUUUGUGAUUUUUUUGAAAUGUGGUAAAGAAGAAUUUAAGCUCUUCCGCAGGAGGUAACUACUAGAAACUGAAGAUAAACUGUCAAAAGUGGCUGUUUCUAAGGAUGGAGAAGGGGAUGGCGGGGUUAGAGGAGGUGGUUGCUGCACGAUGUGUCUUGCAUGCAAUUUGAUCAUUUAACUUUUUGCCAUAAAUACAUACUCAUUAAAAUGUUUAAAAUAAACUUUUUAAAUGUAAUCAAGCAAACACAGAAAUGCACAUGUUUUUUAAACUGGUGAAUAAAGUGCUUGAAUCUUU